AUACAGUUGCAUUGGUUCUUGCCUGACCUGGAAUCGAACCCGCGCGAUCAUACUUGAGAGGUUGGUUCUUUGCCCACUAGGCCACCACGACUCUUCAUCUUCUCUAAUGUUAAUUACAGUAACAGAGUCCUAGUAAUUUAAUUAAGACACAAUUAUGAGCCCACUUUCUAACUAUAAUUGGUUGUUGCUUUCAGAAAUCCCUACACAAUUGAAUGCAACAAUACCACAAGAGACACCACUUGAAGAAACUGUACCAAAAAUCUAUGAAAUCCCUACACAAUUGAAUGCUACUACACCACAAGAAGAGACGACACCACAAAACUAUGAAAUGCCUACACAAUUGAAUGCUACUCCACCACCACCUGAAACAUG
rnacentral:misc_RNA from 1 species